rnacentral:rRNA from 1 species
CUUGGUGACGAUAGCGAGAAGGUUACACCUGUUCCCAUCCCGAACACAGAAGUUAAGCUUUUCAGCGCCGAUGGUAGUGAAGGCAUUGCCUUUGUGAGAGUAGGACGUCGCCAAGC